ensembl:lincRNA
CUGCUUCUGCGCGAUGCCUAUUACCUCUUCAGAUAUGUCACCUGGUACACGGAUUAUAACUUCAUUCCCACUCCAUUUAAUGGCAUGAUUCAAUAAACUGUGGCUUCAUCUUAAUCAUCUCAAAAUACUCUUGGCCUUUGCUAAGCAAGCAAAGAGUUUAACAAUGAAAAUACUGGAGGAAAUUGCUUUAAGUUAGUCUCCAGAGAAAUCAUGAUGUUGGGAAUUUGAUAAACCAUGCCCUAAUUUGCUACCACAUAGAUAAGACAUUAGGUGAGGAUGCUUAGAUAUGUAAACUAAGGCUACAACUGCCUGUCCAUCAAGGAAAUGCUGGUAGGAGAAGAAAGAAGGUAAACGGAUAAAUACACUGUGCUCUGUGUAUGUGAAAUCACUGGCCGGAAUGUUUGACUUACAUGGCCUCAUCCCAUUCUUACCACACUAAUGUACAGCAUUGUGUCCAUUCUCCAAAUCAGAAAACUGAGUUUCUUAGAGAUCCAAUGACAGUCCUGCCCUCAUACUACCUAGGCAAAACUAGAUUUAGUAACUAGCUCCACCACCUUCUGCUUACACAAUGCUGAGCAACCCCAAAUCCUCUGUAGGCCUCAUUUUCCUUAGUGAGAAAAUGAGAGUGACUGCCCUCCCUCACCCCACUCCAGAGGUUGCAAGAAUAUGUAACCAGCAAAAUUAAACACAGGUGGCAGCUGCUUUGGUGAGUUAAACCAAUAAGGGAAAGUGAUAGGAUGAGUUUCCAAACAGUUUCCUGGGACACUUUGUUUUCAAACGUUGGCUGAUGCAAUACUGAGUUGUAUUUUCCGAGCAAGGUCUGACUGGCUGUCAAUGAAUCACUUCCUUCGUGCUCUCAGGAGAGAUACAACUGGGCAGUCCAGGUCCCCACCCUGCUUAAUCUUAACCAGCCUUAUGCUGUAGGUCAUGAAUCUCACUCGUUGCCCAAUUUUAAUUAUAGCAGCAAAAGCCUGAACAGCUCACAAUGGAGGACCAGAAUGGAAUACAGUCUGGUACAUCUGUGCAACAGAAUACCUUGCAGUUAUUAUUUAAAAAUAAAGUGGAUUUGUGAUAGAGGGAUGUUUCAGUGGUUAAAAACACUUGCUGCUCUUGCAGUGGUCCUGGAUUCAAUUCACAGCACCCACAUCAGAAGGCUCAGAACCAUAUAGAAAUUUAAAAUAUAAGUGUGCCAUCCUAGAGCCUUCAUCCAGUGGCUGAUGGAAGCAGAGGCAGACACCCACAGCUAAACACUGAACUGAACUCUGGAACCCAGUUGCAGAGAGGGAGGAGUGAAGAGCAAAGAGGUCAAGACUGGGCUGGUGAAACCCACAGAAACAGCUGACCUGAACAAGGGGGAGCACAUGGACCCCAGACUAAUGUCUGGGAGGCCAGCAUGGAGUUGAUCCAGACCCCUGAAUGUGGAUGUCAAUGAGGAAGCCUCGGCACUCUAUGGGGCCUCUGGUAGUAGAUCAGUAUUUAUCCCUGGUGAAAGAAUAGACUUUGAGAGCCCAUUCUACGUGGAGGGAUGCUCUCUCAACCUGGACACAUGGGGGAGGGCCUAGGCCCUGCCCAGGAUGAUAUGACAGACAUUGGGGAUCCGCCAUGGAGGGCUUACCCUCCCUGGGGAGCAGAGGGGAG